GACGAACGCUGGCGGCGUGCUUAACACAUGCAAGUCGAACGGAAAGGCCUCUUUCGGGGGGUACUCGAGUGGCGAACGGGUGAGUAAAACGUGAGUAACCCGCCCUUGCCUUUGGGGUAUAACCAGGAAACUGGGGUUAUUACCCGAUAGGAGCUCCUGCUGCAUGGUGGGGGUUGGAGAGUUUCGGCGGUUGGGGAUGGGCUCGCGGCGUAUCAGCUUGUUGGUGGGGUAGUGGCUUACCAAGGCUUUGGCGGGUAGCCGGCCUGAGAGGGUGACCGGCCACAAUGGGGCUGAGAUACGGCCCAGACUCCGACGGGGGGAAGAAGUGGGGAAUAUUGCACGAUGGGUGGAAGCCUGAUGCAGCAACGCUGGGGGCGUGAGGACGGCCUUCGGGUUGUAAACCGCGUUCGCUCAUGACGAAGCUUUGUGUGACGGUAGUGGGUAAAGAAGCACCGGCUAACUACGUG
rnacentral:rRNA from 1 species